rnacentral:misc_RNA from 1 species
UACAUAGUGAUGUAGUCUCAGCUUACUAAAGUGACAUCACUAUGUGGCGUCCUUCCGGCCACUGUCACUUCCACACACACGUCCCGAUAGCGUCUGGUCAUGUCUGAUUAUAAUUAUGUUUAUAGUCUUAAUUAAUAAAUAUAUUGUCAUAAACGACAGUGUCAUUAUUCAUCAAAUACAGAACCACAAUACAUGGUGUCAGAAGUCAAUUCAAUCAAAAAAGAAAAAUGUCUAAAAGCGAUGAAGACACGGCAAGUGGCGAGCGGCAAGAAAUGGCUUCCAAAUCGCCAAAGAAGCUCAACAUUAUGGGUAAUAUCAAGCCCAUGAGUCUAGAAGGAAAUCUGUCCACAAACUGGAAGAGAUGGUAUCAAAGUUUUGUAAUUUUUAUGAAAGCGAGCGCCAUUUUUGAUGAGCCGGAUGACCGCAAAGUGGCUGUCUUGUUGCAUUUCAUUGGCAACGAAUGUCUUGAUAUAUUCAACACUUUCAACCUAAACAUAGAAAAUGUAAAAUUUUCGCAACUGGUCGAAAAGUUUGAACAAUACUUUGUACCUAAAAGAAACAUUACAUAUGAGUGUUACAAAUUUUUCACUACAAAACAAAAAGUAGAUGAAAGUCUAGAAGAUUUCCUAACUCGUCUUAUAAAUAAGAGUAAGUCAUGUGAAUUUGGUAGUCUCCAAGAUAGAAUGAUAAAAGAUAUUUUCAUCACUAAUAUGCAUGAAACUUUUCAUCAUGUCAGAGAAAAGUUGUUACUUGAAGAAGAUCUGUCAUUAGAAAAGGCGCGAAACCUUGCUAAAAGCAUUGUGUCAGCGAAAACACAUGCAGAAGAAUUUAAGGAGUCUUCUUCCAAUGUCUUUUAUCAAUCUCAUUCAUCAACCAAACCACAGUCACGAGCGAGCUCAAAGUCAAGAGCCAGGUCGCAGUCUCAAGAUAGAACAAAGUGUACUAAAUGUGGUCAAGUGCAUAAAUACAUGUGUCCUGCUAGAUAUGCAAAGUGUAGAAAGUGCAAAAUUAGAGGACAUUAUGAAGCGUGCUAUUCACCUCGGAAAAUUCCAUUCUCACUUCAUGAUAGACUGAAGAAGGAACUAGACAACAUGGAAAGUAUGGAUGUCAUCUGUAAGGUCACUGAGCCAACAUCAUGGAAUGUUCUAAGUACCAUACAAACGCUGGUCGAUAUUUAAACAUUCACUACGCUUUACCAUUUGAAACAAUAUCGAUAUGAAACUUUAUGCAGCUUGUCACGUGCAACCUGACCUAAAUUUGAACUUAGCGAUAUGGGACGUGGCCUCAUCAGGAUUGCGGUUUGAUAUUGUACAGCCUCCUAGCCCAAUUUGCUCCACGGCGCAGCGGCCAAUAUCAACGGACAUCAACUAGGUGCGCAGAAGAUAUUAUAGUGCACAAGUAUCUGUUGUGACGGCAAUCCGAUACGACUGGAGAGAGAUAAGGCGCAGGACCAAAAUGACCGACUGAGUAAUUUUUAAGAUGGAAAAACCCAAUCCCAAUUAUCUUUGGCCUGCUCAGGACUCGAACCCAGGACUUCAGGGUUAUAGUUGUUCUCGCACUGCGUACGUAUUAUAACUACAUUACCGAGGCAGUCAAGUAAAUCAUUAUAUAUUUAUUGCUUACUUAUAUACAGCUAAAAAAAAUCAUAUUUUCUUUUGUAAAUUUGCAACCUUGAAGUAGAACUGUUGAUGUUGUGGCCGAAAUUACUAUUAUGUACUACAUUGUAGGUAAAUAAAAUAACUUAUUACAAUUAGAAUUCGAUUUGUGGAGAAUUGAAAAAAUAAACUACAGUUUAGGUAUUAAGUAUAAAUAAAACAGUAGUAUCAUCAAGAAAGCUUACAAUGUACAGUUUAUUGCGGCAUGAACCUUACACUUCCAAAUUUAAACCUUUAAGUAGGAAUUAGGUCACAAAACACGAUUACCUACCAAUAAUUAAUACAGGUGCUAGAUUCCUUAUUAAAUACCGACAUAAUACUAAUAUCAGUGGAAUGCACUUAACAUAUUAACACAUUAGCCACGCGAGUUCAACCUUACAGCAGUCACGUGACUUAUGUUUGUUAAACAAAGUUCCUAACGUGACAGCGUGACCGCUAUACCUCUGGUUCGAAUCCUUUUACGAGCGGGUUUCAACUGUUUGAAUUUCGAACUCUUCUGUUUUUCAAUUGUUUUUGUUUAAAGUUGGUUUCAAGAUGAAAACAAAAAAAAA